rnacentral:rRNA from 1 species
AACGAACGCUGGCGGCAGGCUUAACACAUGCAAGUCGAGCGCCCCGCAAGGGGAGCGGCAGACGGGUGAGUAACGCGUGGGAAUCUACCCAUCUCUACGGAAUAACGCAUGGAAACGCGUGCUAAUACCGUAUACGUCCUUCGGGAGAAAGAGUUAUCGGAGAUGGAUGAGCCCGCGUUGGAUUAGCUAGUUGGUGGGGUAAAGGCCUACCAAGGCGACGAUCCACAGCUGGUCUGAGAGGAUGAACAGCCACACUGGGACUGAGACACGGCCCAGACUCCUACGGGAGGCAGCAGUGGGGAAUAUUGGACAAUGGGCGCAAGCCUGAUCCAGCCAUGCCGCGUGAGUGAUGAAGGCCCUAGGGUUGUAAAGCUCUUUCACCGGUGAAGAUAAUGACGGUAACCGGAGAAGAAGCCCCGGCUAACUUCGUGCCAGCCGCCGCCGUAAGAC